ensembl:lncRNA
CGCCCCCCGCUUUUGAAACGGGUUAAAACUAUCGUCAAAAUUUUCUGGAUCGAAAUUGUAAGUUCCCUUUUUAGGAAUUGGAAUGUCGUCAACGUUGGGAGGAGGUGGAGAUGUAGAGUUUGGUGGAUUUGAUGUUUCUUGAACGGGGUCCUGCAGGUUCAGAAUCCGAUUUCAUGCCCCUUUUCUCCUCUCCCAGUUUUGGAUUUUUGAUUUUUAAACUUUGCCAAAUUGUUUUUCUUGCUCCUAAUUUUUUGGGAGGAGGUUUGGACACAGUUUCCGUUUCAUCCAAUGUAAAUUCUAAAACAACUGGUUUCGCUUUCAAACUCUCGUCUUCAAAAUUUGUAAAAGAUGAACUCGAACCACGGAGGAGGUGAGUUUUGGAUUUUUGAACCUCCACUCGCAAACGGAUUAAAACUUUCAUCAAAAUUCUCUGGAUCAAAAUAUAACUUGCAUUUUUGGGAAUCGGAAUAUCAUCAAAGUUCAAAGGAGCGGGAGAAGAAGAAGAGUUUUUGCAAAUUUGAUGUUUCUCAGGAAUUUCAGAUUUUGGACUUUCGUGUUUUUUCAUCCAAAUUUAGAUUUUCUGUUUGCUUUUAGUUUUGGUUGCAGUUUUUUCGGGGUACACGUUUUUUUUGGAGGUUUGGUCACUGUUUCUUCGUCCAAUCCAAAUUCUAACACAACCGGUUUCAUCUCCUCCUUUUGAAAAUCUUUAUCUAUCUUCAACAUUUGCCUCUAGUUUAGGUAAGACGUUGUUGUUGGUGAAUUUGGAAUUUUUGACCCUUCGCUCAUAAACGGGGUAAAACUUUCGUCAAAAUUCUCAGGGUCAAAUUUAUAAGAUCCAGUUUUAGGAAUUGGAAUGUCGUCAAAAUUUGUUAUUUCUUGAGCAAUUUUUUUGGAGGCAAAGGUUUCAGCGUUUUGAUCUGAAAUCUCCUCCUCUUUUAGCUUUUUGAACUUUAAUUGUAUUUUUUGCUUCCCAGUUUUUCCGUAGGUUUGGUCGCUGAUGUUUCAUCCAAAUUAAGAUCUAGCUCUUCUGUUUCAUCUCCUCUUUUUCAAAAUCUUUUUCUGAUUCUAAAUUUCCUUCUAGUUUCGGUAUUUCUGAACUUGUAGCAGUCACUGUUGGUGAAUUUGGGAUUUUCGACCCUCCACUUGAAAAUGGGUCAAACUUUCGUUCAAAAUUCUCUGGGUCAAAUUUAUAAGAUCCAGUUUUAGGGAUUGGAAUGUCAUCAAAAUUUGACAAUUCUUGAGUGACAUCUGGAGAACUUGUUGGGGAUUUUCAUCCAAAUUUUGUUUUUUUAAUCUUACUCAUUGCCUUUCUGUUUUCCUUGCUUUUUCAAGGGAGAUUCAUCAACAGGUUUUUUGCUCAAAAUUAAAAUCCAUUUCUGUUUGUUUUGGCUCCUCUUCGUCGUCUUUCUUCAAACCCCAUUUGAGCUUUUAGUUCAGGCAUCAUGUCACUCACUUCACAUGGAGAAUUUGGAAUUUUUGACCCUCCGCUCGAGAACGGGUCAAAACUUUCAUCAAAAUUCUCAAGAUCAAACUUAUAAGACGCUUUAGGAACUGGAAUUUCGGUUUUUGAUGUAUCGGAAUUUGAUGUAUCUUGAGCAACUUCUACAGAUUCUGUUUGAGGUUUUUCUUCCAAAUUUUGUUUUUUAACUUUGCUCAUUGUCUUUUUGAUUUGUGUUUUUUCAAGGGAGAUUUGGCAAACAGUCUUCUGGUCCUAAAUUAAAAUCCAUUUGUCUUGUUUCUUCUGUGUUGUCUUUUUGACUGUUUAGUUCUGGCAUUGUGGUUGCUCGCUCCACACGGAGGAGGGGAAUUUGGAAUUUUUUGACCCUCCGCUCGAAAAUGGGUCAAAACUUUUCAUCUAUAAUUCUCUGGGUCAAAUUUGUAAGACACUUUUGGAAUUUGAAUUUCAGUUUCAUCAAAAUUUGACAGUUCUGGAACAACUUCUAGAGAUUUUGUUGGAGAUUUUUCUUCUAAAUUUUGCUUUAUUAACCUUUGCUCGUUGUCUUUUUGGCUGCUUGUUUUUUCAAAGGAGAUUUGGCAACUAUUUGUUGGUCCAAAUUACCAUCCAUUUCUGUCCAUUUUGAUUCCUCUGUGUCGUGUUUUUUAAUGACAAUUUCUGGCGUUGCAUUGCUCGCUCCACACGGAGGAGGAGAAUUUGGAAUUUUUGACCCGCCGCUAGAAACGGGUCAAAACUUUCGUCGAAAUUCUCGGGAUCAAACUUAUAAGACACUUUGGGAACUGGAAUUUCUGCUUCGGCAUCGUCCUGUUGGAAUUCUUCAGGUGGAUUUUGCAUUUUGAGCGGAGCAGGUUUGGACUUCUGACUCUUGCAGAAUUCAUUGUUUUGGGUUUCGGAGUUAAGAGGCAACUUGUCAAACUCGUUAUCAAAAUGUGGUACUAAUCCUUUGCCUUCUCUCUUCACAUCUGGUAAUAUUUCUGUAUUUUUUGGAGCAGAAUCUGUUAUUUGUGAAGUAAUUUCUUGAGACUCCAUUUUGUUCUCAUGUUGGUGCAUUUCUGGAGCAGGUGAAGGCGAGGUUGUGACUCUGAUUUGUGGAGACACAGAGGGGGGCGGGGCUUUUUCAUCAUAACAUUUUUCUAUUUGGAUUUCCAGAGGAGCGCUCCCUGGAGGUGUAGGCAGAUCUCGGCCCAUCUCAAGGCUGAAAACGGGGCUCUGAUCUUGGGAUACAGCGGAGACAAUCAGCCUCUCCUCCACCUCCACAUCUGCAAUAGAGAGAGAGAGGAAGACGGUUUACAAUCAAAUGUGACGUCACAGUCCUGGUCGAGGGCCUAUUUAGUCCUGGUUUAGCUAUAGUUUGG